CUAAGUAAUGGUCACGUGAGUCCUUUAUAGGGACAGGGCUGGUUUCUCUAUAACCUUCAUACCAUGGGCAGGCUGGUGGCUUAGAAAUCGAAACCCAGCAAGGCUGCUAAUAAAGUGCCUCAGAGAGGAUUGUGCAUCAUGCUUUACUGUCUGCAAAGCCACAGUUUUCUUUGUGGAGGAAAGCGACUCGUGCCCUGUCCACCAACACACACACACACACACACACACACACACACACACACACACACACACACACACCCCCACCACACACUUUCCUGGCAGGCUGGAUGGGUUUCCAAACAUUUCGUCACUGUCUCCUCCUGACCUUGGUGUGCAAGGAACAAGCCGCGUGGCCUGUUGGUUACAGAAGAGCCAUGGGGUGGGGGGACGGCUCAGGCCUAGGCUUGGGGUGGAGGGUGGCCAAAGCCUCUGCAAGUGGAGGUGAGGUCUGCUGGAAAUCCCCAACCCGGGCAGCCGCCCUGAGGUUUAAAGACGCCUCCCUGGCCUUAUUUGGUCGCAGGAAGUGGGCGGUGCGGAGCUUGCAGGCGGAGAGGCCGCCCAGAGACAGUUGUGCUGAUGAAGUGGUAGAGCUGGUUCCUGCUCGCCGCCGUGCCGCGCGCGCCGGCCAGCCACUGGGCGCUCGGCGCUCCCAGCCUCGAGUUGUGCAAUCCUUUGUAGCACGCCAGCGAGUCCUCCUCCUUCGCUGUUGCCUCUCGCCCUCUCUCUCUCUCCUUUUUUUUUUUUCUUCAAGCUGUGAGCUCAACCGAUGAGUCAGAGUCGUGCAAUCCUGACACUGCAUCGCAGGACUGGGGGUGACACGCAGGGAGGGAGAGCGCUCUCCAGGCGGACUGUAAGGGCGCGAGGCGCGCCGACGCUGCCGUGUCUCGAGCAGUGGGUGACAGCACGCACGUCCCGCCCGGGCCCUGCCAGCAAACUUCCCCGCUUCGGGAGGCGCGGGCUUGGCGAAAGCCCCGCUAACGCCGCGGGGAGGCGACGGCGCCUGUUUGUUUUUAAAAUCCGGGAGUGCGUGCAGGCGGCUGGGCUCCUCGGAGGCGACCCAAGGCGGUGGCGGCGGCGGCGGCCCGCGGCGGAAGGAAGGGAGACUGCUGGGGCCGGAGGCCGAGCGGGAGCUGGCGUGCUGGGCGCUGUGUCCGCGCGGGGACAGACCUGCGGCGGGGAGGGGGCGAUUGCGCUAUGGAGGCGGAGAACCCGGGCCAGGGCUGGAGAGGCCUAGGCUGGAGCUCUGAGCGCGCGCGGGCCGGACGACGAGCGUGGAGCCGCCUCACCCCGCGUGCUGCUGCACCUCAGACCUGUCAUCUGUCUCGCCCGCCCCCGCACG
rnacentral:lncRNA from 1 species